CAACAAUUUUCACUCUUCCCUCCACCUAGACUUCCUCUUUCCUUACAGCUGAAACAUUUCUCAUUCUUCCCGUUUACUCUUUGGUCUCAAUCCAAACUUCAUUCAUCUUUGGGUGCUGGUGCUUUGAACUUCAUCAUUUAGCCCAACUGAUGUGCCAUCAAGAUGACAUCUUCUUGAGCCAAAUACGAAUGAGGAAAAAUCUCUUUGAGGAAGAUCCAAGUGAGAGGAAAUCUCUUCGAGGAAGAUUCAAGUUCAAUUAUGAAAUAGAAGUGGGGGCAUAGGGCUGGGGAGUAUUAGUUAUGGAAAGUGUGUUUGAUAGGUGGAGAUGCAAUAGAUCAAUUUGAGAAUGAUGGUGAUGACGUAGGAAAUGCUGGAGUAUUUGAUCAUAUGACACCGGCAGAGAGGCUCGAACAAGAAUGUGUUAACUUUUAGGAUGCUCAGAUGGUCAUGUUAAUUACUUUUGGCUAUGACUCCAAUUUUGGAGUGAAUCGUUAAGUUUCAAUGUAUGAAGAUAUUGUGAGGACUCCAAUUUUGAGUGAAUUAUUAAUUAGCACCUUGAAUGA